AAACUUCGCAAACUUUCAAAACCGAAACUAUGAAGUUUACGUACUCGGCGAUGGGGGGACAUGCAACCAAAGCGGUCAAAAUUGGUGCGUGAUACAUUACACUGGAAUAAUCACCUAAUUUGCAUGGCUUCCACUCUGCCGACCAGUUCUGGACCUGGGGAGGCUUCAGUGACUAAAGACUGGGACUCGUUUACCAAGCCAAAUGCCUCUGGUUCUGCAUCCAAUAGUUGUGAAGGACUAAAUUCUGCGACUUCACGCCUGCCAGCUGAUCCUAACAAGGUGUGCAUCAUGGUUGAUCGAAGGACACU